UAGGGAAUCUUCCACAAUGGACGAAAGUCUGAUGGAGCAACGCCGCGUGAGUGAAGAAGGGUUUCGGCUCGUAAACUCUGUUGUUAAAGAAGAACAUAUCUGAGAGUAACUGUUCAGGUAUUGACGGUAUUUAACCAGAAAGCCACGGCUAACUACGUGCCCG
rnacentral:rRNA from 1 species